ACUCCGUCUCAAAGAAAAAAAGAAAGAAAACGACACGAAUCGGGGUACAAGGUUGGGUUUCAGCCGAGCCAGUCUGAGCCCCUUUCCCGCGCCCUCUGGUGGGAGGUGUUCGCUUUUCUGCACACCCGUGUGAAGGAUUCACCGGCCCUCCUCGGGUGGCCGUUACUUUACAGGAGCAAAGCAAGGCUUUUGCACUUCUGACAAUUGAUGGCUGCACUUGGACUAGCCAGCCGGUCCCGCGUCCCCACCAGAAGCACAAGAGGACAGCUCCAACUCUCUAGGAUUUCAGCUCUGACCAGUCAGCACGCCCGGCUCACUGGCUUCCCCACACCCACCAAAGUGUUCUUAAAAACUCUGCUGCCUGAAUGCUCACGGAGAGUGAUUUGAGUAAUAAUGAAACUGUGGUCUCCCGCACAGUCGACUCUGCGUGAAUUACUCUUUCUCCAUUGCAAUUGCCCCAUCUUGAGAAGUCGGCUCUGUCCAGGCAGCGGCAAGGUGAACCCACGGGGCGGCCACACUGAUAUGAUUCCCCCUUUGCAAUUUUUACUCUCUUGGUGCUGCAAACAGUUCCUCACUGGGGACCCUUGUAUAUGUAUCACAUGAGCAUGAAUCAGAAUUUCUUUAGGAAACAUACAUACUAGUGGGUAUGUGCAUGUUAUUUAACUUCUCUGUAGCACUGUUUCCUCACUCAUCAAAUGGGGAUCAAGUAGUUCUCACCACACAGGGUUAUUGUAGAAAUAAUUUAGUAUACAUAAUAUAUAAUGCAAUAACAAGUACUGAUGUCUACUUUUUUUAG